CACCGGAGCUUGCUCCACCGGAAAAAGAAGAGUGGCGAACGGGUGAGUAACACGUGGGUAACCUGCCCAUCAGAAGGGGAUAACACUUGGAAACAGGUGCUAAUACCGUAUAACAAUCGAAACCGCAUGGUUUUGAUUUGAAAGGCGCUUUCGGGUGUCGCUGAUGGAUGGACCCGCGGUGCAUUAGCUAGUUGGUGAGGUAACGGCUCACCAAGGCCACGAUGCAUAGCCGACCUGAGAGGGUGAUCGGCCACAUUGGGACUGAGACACGGCCCAAACUCCUACGGGAGGCAGCAGUAGGGAAUCUUCGGCAAUGGACGAAAGUCUGACCGAGCAACGCCGCGUGAGUGAAGAAGGUUUUCGGAUCGUAAAACUCUGUUGUUAGAGAAGAACAAGGAUGAGAGUAACUGUUCAUCCCUUGACGGUAUCUAACCAGAAAGCCACGGCUAACUACGUGCCAGCAGCCGCGGUAAUACGUAGGUGGCAAGCGUUGUCCGGAUUUAUUGGGCGUAAAGCGAGCGCAGGCGGUUUCUUAAGUCUGAUGUGAAAGCCCCCGGCUCAACCGGGGAGGGUCAUUGGAAACUGGGAGACUUGAGUGCAGAAGAGGAGAGUGGAAUUUCCAUGUGUAGCGUGAAAUGCGUAGAUAUAUGGAGGAACACCAGUGGCGAAGGCGGCUCUCUGGUCUGUAACUGACGCUGAGGCUCGAAAGCGUGGGGAGCAAACAGGAUUAGAUACCCUGGUAGUCCACGCCGUAAACGAUGAGUGCUAAGUGUUGGAGGGUUUCCGCCCUUCAGUGCUGCAGCUAACGCAUUAAGCACUCCGCCUGGGGAGUACGACCGCAAGGUUGAAACUCAAAGGAAUUGACGGGGGCCCGCACAAGCGGUGGAGCAUGUGGUUUAAUUCGAAGCAACGCGAAGAACCUUACCAGGUCUUGACAUCCUUUGACCACUCUAGAGAUAGAGCUUCCCCUUCGGGGGCAAAGUGACAGGUGGUGCAUGGUUGUCGUCAGCUCGUGUCGUGAGAUGUUGGGUUAAGUCCCGCAACGAGCGCAACCCUUAUUGUUAGUUGCCAUCAUUUAGUUGGGCACUCUAGCAAGACUGCCGGUGACAAACCGGAGGAAGGUGGGGAUGACGUCAAAUCAUCAUGCCCCUUAUGACCUGGGCUACACACGUGCUACAAUGGGAAGUACAACGAGUCGCGAAGUCGCGAGGCUAAGCUAAUCUCUUAAAGCUUCUCUCAGUUCGGAUUGUAGGCUGCAACUCGCCUACAUGAAGCCGGAAUCGCUAGUAAUCGCGGAUCAGCACGCCGCGGUGAAUACGUUCCCGGGCCUUGUACACACCGCCCGUCACACCACGAGAGUUUGUAACACCCGAAGUCGUGGAGGUAAUCUUGUG
rnacentral:rRNA from 1 species